rnacentral:lncRNA from 10 species
CUGCAGCUCCAGGUAGAUGGCACGAGACCAGGAACACAGGUUCCCUUGAGUCAGAGCAUGGAGAGUACAAGAGCAGCCGUCCCACAGCCUGGCUGGGCAGUCAACUGUGGCAGCCCUCACCCUCGGGGCCCGGCCCAUCCACUGAGGGGACCUGCAAGAUGCAACUCCUGUUCUAGGCUUCACUUGGCAUCUGGAAUAAACACACACGUAGCUGCUUCUCUUAUGUCACCACUAUGGAAAGCCAAAGGCUGAGUCCUGGAGUGUCCGCGCCAGCAGCAGGUCAUGGAGUUCUUCUGGGUCCACGAUGGCCCUGCUGAAAUACUGAAAAAGGAAGGCAGAUCCAACGGUUGUAACUCAAACAGGCCCCUUAAAACUGCCAGGACUGGGCUUGGACUAAGCAAGCAAUUUUUGAGCACCGACUGUAUGCUAGUAACGGAUGGCUCUGUCCUCAAGAUGAGACUCUCACAGGAGAGAGGAUUAAUUCCACGUCAUUCCGACUGCACUGAUGAGCCCUGGAACAGCAGUGUAGACACAAGACCAAGUAAGGGGCCGAGUCCAACUACUGAGAGGCCAGGGAGGCCUCCUGGGGUGGUGGUGGAGACUGAGCCUGGACAGUCGGAAGGGUCUGCCCGUGACCCGGGCCACAGAGCAAGAGCACAGACAGAGUGCAGCUGGCGGACGCUCAGCUCCAUCUUCUGAGAGCCCUGGGCUGAAGUGCCGGGGACCAGGCCCGACGGGGUCAGUCCUGUGUCUCAGAGUCAGCCCCGUUCACUGGGCUCACUGUCAGGUGGGUGCAGUCAGGAAACCGGCAGGCAGGUGCAGUCGGGAAACCAGUGUGGAGCCUUAGCUGCUCCAUGGGGUCAGAGCUUAGGUGCCAGUGGUGCCUGCUCAGAUCUCACGCCGGCACCCCUACUCCGUCUGGGGCUCUGGGGGGGAUGAGGAUGCCCCGUGCUCCACGUUCAUGAUGCUGUGACUCUGAGACCAGAGCCCGCCUCUUCUCAGCAGAUAGAGCAUGUGUGUCACAUGGGAGCUGGCCCUGAUGCCCUCCUGUGACUGUCCAGGCCCCUCCUGCUGGUGCAGCUGUCCCCUCCUCCUUCAAGGCUCAGCCCCAGGACCACCUCCUGGGGAACACCUUCCCUGACCCCGCCUUGUUCAGAGGCCCCACAGACUACUUCAUAAACUGAAUACACCUCCUGCCUCUGACCUGGAAGGUGAUCCUGAGGAUGACAUCACGCCGCUUUCCACAUGAGUCCGCACCGUGCAGCUCAGAAUACACUCACACCACGUCCGUGAGUAAGUAGAUGAGGCCAUUGUUCCACAACAGAGCACUUCCUUGCCGAAAUGGUCACCCUUCACAGCAGUGGUUUUUAGACACACAGAACCAGCCCUUCGAGAGGCCAUGCGUUCAUCCAGUGUGUAAAACAGAUAAAGGCAGAAGUCUCCCGGCGGACUGGGCAUGAGGAUGCCCCGCUGUGGACGCCAACAGCACCACUGGGCAGUGCCUGUGUCUCCGAGGAGCUGAAAACCUGGACUCUAAAGAGUCCUCACUGUAACAGAUCAGCAGCUGCCCUUCUCCUGACAGCACAUUUCUCAUUUCCUGGUAAGGAGAGCAGAGUUCUGAUGUGAAAGGCCACAGCGGCUGUAACUCAGGACUGGUCCUCCAGCGCCGCUGUAAUUUGUCAGGGUCCUCCUCCAUGAUUUCCUCGAUAACUCCUCACCACCAUCAUCUAAUUGCUGAUUUCUAACAUAUAUUUAGAAACAAUGUUCAUUACAGUAAAUUAAAUGGGACAAGAAUGAAAUUUG